AACGAACGCUGGCGGCAGGCUUAACACAUGCAAGUCGAACGCCCCGCAAGGGGAGUGGCAGACGGGUGAGUAACGCGUGGGAAUCUACCCAGAUCUUCGGAACAACUGAGGGAAACUUCAGCUAAUACCGGAUACGCCCUACGGGGGAAAGAUUUAUCGGUUCUGGAUGAGCCCGCGUUGGAUUAGGUAGUUGGUGAGGUAACGGCUCACCAAGGCGACGAUCCAUAGCUGGUCUGAGAGGAUGAUCAGCCACACUGGGAAUGAGACACGGCCCAGACUCCUACGGGAGGCAGCAGUGGGGAAUAUUGGACAAUGGGCGAAAGCCUGAUCCAGCCAUGCCGCGUGAGUGAUGAAGGCCUUAGGGUUGUAAAGCUCUUUCAGUAGGGAAGAUAAUGACGGUACCUACAGAAGAAGCCCCGGCUAACUUCGUGCCAGCCGCCGCCGUAACAC
rnacentral:rRNA from 1 species